rnacentral:rRNA from 1 species
AGAUUGGACGCUGGCGGCAUGCCUUACACAUGCAAGUCGAACGGCAGCGCGGGGCAACCUGGCGGCGAGUGGCGAACGGGUGAGUAAUAUAUCGGAACGUACCCUGGAGUGGGGGAUAACGUAGCGAAAGUUACGCUAAUACCGCAUACGAUCUAAGGAUGAAAGUGGGGGAUUCGCAAGAACCUCAUGCUCCUGGAGCGGCCGAUAUCUGAUUAGCUAGUUGGUGGGGUAAAGGCCUACCAAGGCAUCGAUCAGUAGCUGGUCUGAGAGGACGACCAGCCACACUGGAACUGAGACACGGUCCAGACUCCUACGGGAGGCAGCAGUGGGGAAUUUUGGACAAUGGGCGAAAGCCUGAUCCAGCAAUGCCGCGUGAGUGAAGAAGGCCUUCGGUGUAAGCUCUUUGUCAGGAAGAACGGUGGAGGUCGUAAUAUCUCUGACUAAUGACGGUACCUAGAAG